CCCUUAAGUGGGGGAUAACAUUUGGAAACAGAUGCUAAUACCGCAUAAAUCCAAGAACCGCAUGGUUCUUGGCUGAAAGAUGGCGUAAGCUAUCGCUUUUGGAUGGACCCGCGGCGUAUUAGCUAGUUGGUGAGGUAACGGCUCACCAAGGCAAUGAUACGUAGCCGAACUGAGAGGUUGAUCGGCCACAUUGGGACUGAGACACGGCCCAAACUCCUACGGGAGGCAGCAGUAGGGAAUCUUCCACAAUGGACGCAAGUCUGAUGGAGCAACGCCGCGUGAGUGAAGAAGGCUUUCGGGUCGUAAAACUCUGUUGUUGGAGAAGAAUGGUCGGCAGAGUAACUGUUGUCGGCGUGACGGUAUCCAACCAGAAAGCCACGGCUAACUACGUGCCAGCAGCCGCGGUAAUACGUAGGUGGCAAGCGUUAUCCGGAUUUAUUGGGCGUAAAGCGAGCGCAGGCGGUUUUUUAAGUCUGAUGUGAAAGCCCUCGGCUUAACCGAGGAAGUGCAUCGGAAACUGGGAAACUUGAGUGCAGAAGAGGACAGUGGAACUCCAUGUGUAGCGGUGAAAUGCGUAGAUAUAUGGAAGAACACCAGUGGCGAAGGCGGCUGUCUGGUCUGUAACUGACGCUGAGGCUCGAAAGCAUGGGUAGCGAACAGGAUUAGAUACCCUGGUAGUCCAUGCCGUAAACGAUGAAUGCUAGGUGUUGGAGGGUUUCCGCCCUUCAGUGCCGCAGCUAACGCAUUAAGCAUUCCGCCUGGGGAGUACGACCGCAAGGUUGAAACUCAAAGGAAUUGACGGGGGCCCG
rnacentral:rRNA from 1 species